ACCAUGCAGGAAAACAAAAAAAAAGCCAGAACAAUUGUGUGAACCAAGUGCCUCAUCUUAUUCUGAAAACAUCUGUGCCUCUGAACAUUUCGUUCAUUCAUUUGGUUUAUUUGGUGCAAAAGCUAGAAAUUCAGAAAAAAACCCAAAGGAGUUAAAUUGUCCUAGCAAAAUCCCAAUACCAGCACCUGUGCCUGAUGGCCCAUUCGUCAUUCUCAAGCCUCUAGCAAAAACUCCCCUGGAAGACCCUGCCCUGCAGCCCCUGCAGAGGGGAGGAGAAGGAGGAGGAGGAGGAGGUCGUCAUGAAGAAAACAUCAAUGCAUACUACCUGAAGAUGUCUUGUGAUUAGAACAAGAAGCAGUAGCAAAGGAAACAGGAAACUUUUUUCUUCACUUUCUGCCCAUGAGUCAAGUACUGAAGUAUUAAUUUGUGAGGCUGUGGAAAUGCCAGCCUGGAACAUUUUCAGGACAGAAAAAAAAAACAGUGAGAGUGUGGCUCACACCGUCUUGAGGGGACAAAUGAGCUUAGACAACUCGGCAGCCAACGAGCAGAAGAUGGGGAGCUACCGAGCAGGACAGCUCGAUGCCAAGAGCAAGCAGGGAGCUGAUGUGCCACCAGCUUCAUCUGAAUAUUCAGGAAAGUGAGUUAAAUGGUGACACCUUGUCCUGGCACACAUCCUAUCCUCUCCUGUAAAACAAACCCUGGCACACAGCA